rnacentral:miRNA from 14 species
AUGUGUGCAUGUGUAGGUGUACAUGCAUGCAUGUGUGUAUAUGCAUGUAUGUAUGUAUACACACACACACACACACACACACACACACACACACAC